rnacentral:rRNA from 1 species
UACAGAGGUCUCAAGCGUUGUUCGGAUUCAUUGGGCGUAAAGGGUGCGUAGGCGGCGCGGUAAGUCGGGUGUGAAAUCCCUCGGCUCAACCGAGGAACUGCGCCCAAAACUACCGUACUUGAGGAAGAUAGAGGUGAGCGGAACUUACGGUGGAGCGGUGAAAUGCGUUGAUAUCGUAAGGAACACCCGUGGCGAAAGCGGCUCACUGGGUCUUUUCUGACGCUGAUGCACGAAAAGCUAGGGGAGCAAACGGG